AUGAACGCUAGCUACAGGCUUAACACAUGCAAGUCGAGGGGCAGCAUGAACUUAGCUUGCUAAGUUUGAUGGCGACCGGCGCACGGGUGAGUAACACGUAUCCAACCUGCCGAUGACUCGGGGAUAGCCUUUCGAAAGAAAGAUUAAUACCCGAUGGCAUAGUUCUUCCGCAUGGUAGAACUAUUAAAGAAUUUCGGUCAUCGAUGGGGAUGCGUUCCAUUAGGUUGUUGGCGGGGUAACGGCCCACCAAGCCUUCGAUGGAUAGGGGUUCUGAGAGGAAGGUCCCCCACAUUGGAACUGAGACACGGUCCAAACUCCUACGGGAGGCAGCAGUGAGGAAUAUUGGUCAAUGGACGAGAGUCUGAACCAGCCAAGUAGCGUGAAGGAUGACUGCCCUAUGGGUUGUAAACUUCUUUUAUACGGGAAUAAAGUGAGGCACGUGUGCCUUUUUGUAUGUACCGUAUGAAUAAGGAUCGGCUAACUCCGUGCCAGCAGCCGCGGUAAUACGGAGGAUCCGAGCGUUAUCCGGAUUUAUUGGGUUUAAAGGGAGCGUAGGCGGACGCUUAAGUCAGUUGUGAAAGUUUGCGGCUCAACCGUAAAAUUGCAGUUGAUACUGGGUGUCUUGAGUACAGUAGAGGCAGGCGGAAUUCGUGGUGUAGCGGUGAAAUGCUUAGAUAUCACGAAGAACUCCGAUUGCGAAGGCAGCCUGCUGGACUGUAACUGACGCUGAUGCUCGAAAGUGUGGGUAUCAAACAGGAUUAGAUACCCUGGUAGUCCACACAGUAAACGAUGAAUACUCGCUGUUUGCGAUAUACAGUAAGCGGCCAAGCGAAAGCGUUAAGUAUUCCACCUGGGGAGUACGCCGGCAACGGUGAAACUCAAAGGAAUUGACGGGGGCCCGCACAAGCGGAGGAACAUGUGGUUUAAUUCGAUGAUACGCGAGGAACCUUACCCGGGCUUGAAUUGCAACUGAAUGAUGUGGAGACAUGUCAGCCGCAAGGCAGUUGUGAAGGUGCUGCAUGGUUGUCGUCAGCUCGUGCCGUGAGGUGUCGGCUUAAGUGCCAUAACGAGCGCAACCCUUAUCGAUAGUUACCAUCAGGUGAUGCUGGGGACUCUGUCGAGACUGCCGUCGUAAGAUGUGAGGAAGGUGGGGAUGACGUCAAAUCAGCACGGCCCUUACGUCCGGGGCUACACACGUGUUACAAUGGGGGGUACAGAGGGCCGCUACCACGCGAGUGGAUGCCAAUCCCAAAAACCUCUCUCAGUUCGGACUGGAGUCUGCAACCCGACUCCACGAAGCUGGAUUCGCUAGUAAUCGCGCAUCAGCCACGGCGCGGUGAAUACGUUCCCGGGCCUUGUACACACCGCCCGUCAAGCCAUGAAAGCCGGGGGUACCUGAAGUGCGUAACCGCAAGGAGCGCCCUAGGGUAAAACUGGUGAUUGGGGCU
rnacentral:rRNA from 1 species